UUGCUCGAUGCAGCUUCUGCUGCCAUCGAUGCAGCCUCUGCCACCCUCGAAGCAGCCUCUGAUGCUGCCGCCUCCGAGGUUGUCUCUGCUGCCCCAGAGGUAGCCUCCGUCGCUACCACUCCCAAAGCAGCCUCUGACGCUGCCGCCCCAGAAGCAGCCUCUGACGCUGCCGCCCCUGAAGUAGCCUCCGUUGCUACCGCCCCAGAAGCAGCCUCUGACGCUGCCGCCUCCGAGGUCGUCUCUGCUGCCCCAGAUGUAGCCUCCGUCGCUACCACUCCCAAAGCAGCCUCUGCCUCUCCCGAAGCAGCUUCUGAUGCUGCCACCCCCGAAGCAGCCUCUGACGCUGCCGCCCCCGACGUAGCCUCUGUCGCUACCACCCCAGAAGCAGCCUCUGAUGCCACUGACGUAGCCUCCGUCGCUACCACUCCCGAAGCACCCACUGCUGCCCCCGACGUAGUCUCUGUUGCUAGCAACCCCGAAGCAGCCUCUGUCGCUGCUGUCCCUGAAGCAGCCUCUGAUGCCACUGACGUAGCCUCCGUCGCUACCGCUCCCGAAGCACCCACUGCUGCCCCCGACGUAGCCUCUGUUGCUAGCAACCCCGAAGCAGCCUCUGUCGCUGCUGUCUCUGAAGAAAUUGCUGAUGGUGACGCCACUGAGGCCUACGCCACAGCAGAACCAGCCGCCGCAGAUCAAGCCGCCGCUCUCCCUGCAGACCGAGCCGUCGCUCACCCUGCAGACCCGGCCGUCGCUGACCCUGCAGACCCGGCCGUCGCUGACCCUGCAGAACCAGCCACCGCAGAUCAAGCCGCCGCUCUCCCUGCAGACCGAGCCGUCGCUCACCCUGCAGACCCGGCCGUCGCUGACCCUGCAGACCCGGCCGUCGCUGACCCUGCAGACCCAGCCGUCGCUGACCCAGCAGACCCAGCCGACGCUCACCCAGCUUGUGCGUACCCUACAGCCAGCGCUGCCGACCCGGACCCCGCAGCCACCGCUGCCGACCCGCACCCCGCAGCUGACCCGGACCCUGCUGCCACAGCUGCCAACCAAGAUCCUCCAGCAUCCGUUUCCGAUGCAGGCCCAGCAGCACCCUCUGCCGAGACCGGUCCAGCAGCACCUUCUGAUGGCGUCGCUGCUGAGGGCUCUGCUGUUCCAAGCGCCCCUGGCCGGAGUGCCCCUGUCCCGAGCGCCCCUGGCCGGAGCGCCCCUGUCCCGAGCGUCCCAGGCGCCCCUGUCCCGAGCGUCCCAGGCUCCCCUGUCCCGAGCGUCCCAGGCUCCCCUGUCCCGAGCGUCCCAGGCUCCCCUGUCCCGAGCGUCCCAGGCUCCCCUGUCCCGAGCCUCCCAGGCUCCCCUGUCCCGAGCGUCCCAGGCGCCCCUGUCCCGAGCGUCUCAGGCGCCCCGGUCCCGAGCGUCCCAGGCUCCCCUGUCCCGAGCGC
ensembl:lncRNA